GGCAGCGUAGCUCAGUUGGUUAGAGCGCAAGACUCAUAAGCUUGAGGUCACAGGUUCAAUUCCUGUCGCUGCUACCA
rnacentral:tRNA from 3 species